rnacentral:sRNA from 1 species
CAUAAAAUUAGAGAAAGCUAGAGGCGAUUUUUUCAAUUUUAAGCACAUCCAACCCAAAUGUGAAAGUACUUUUAUAUCAGGCCUUGCUACGUCCUUUUAUCACAUAUGAAUGCAAAUUUUGACAGUUCGAAAAUAAAUAACCUGGAAAUUUUUACUUGGACUUUCUUUCCCAGCAGAAAUUUGCAACUUUGAACAGAUGUUUUUAAAGGUCAGAUAUUCUAUAAAAUGCGCUAUUACAUGAAAAUAGAUCAAAAAGGUAGAGGCAGCCGUUAGUGUUCAGAAGGCAAGAAAAGAGCAAUUAUCGGUUUCUUUAGUGUUUUGACUCAUCGGAGAUCUACGAUGAAACCAACACCGUUCCUUUGAAAUUAUUAAGAAGGUUGCUGAGAUUGAGUGGGUCUGGCUGGGAAGUUAAAAGUGGGUUAGCAAAGCUCCGGAAAUACUUAACAGAACCAAAAAUCAAGAGAAAUUAAUUAAAUUUCUUACUUUUUAUCAAUUUUUGCAAAUAUUUGUAAAAUAGAAAUUUAACCAUACCAAAAUUUGGAGUAAAAUAUCAAUGCUUUGAAUCAAAAAUACCAAAUGAAGUAUCUAUUACCGUAGUACUGAGAAAAAUGACAAAUUUAUAAAAAAAAUAUUCUGGACAGGACUAUGACCAAUGGUCCUGGAGGACAUCUAAGAAUUUUACAAGGUACUACCAUACAUUAUUGGAAAGGUCACGAUGUGUGCUUUCCAAAACAUGUCCUUAUUCGAAUCGAGCAGUUGGCUUUUUUAUAUUCCUGUCCUUUUUAAAAAUGUAUCGAAAAAAAAAAAUUUUUUUUUGAGAGAGAAUGUGGUUGUUUAUCCGUUCUGUUGUGUACUCGCUCGCUC